rnacentral:ncRNA from 1 species
GAAAUUAACGUGCAAGUGGCUGAGCACUCCACAGAGACAUGUACCCUAAACGUAGUUCUCGGAGAGAUUCAGCGUAACACAGAGGCUGGUCCUUUGAAAGGCUGGUCCUUUGAAAUACAGGUACUACUCACGUUUGCUAGCUGCAUGGGCUGGGGCAACGUGAAAUAAAGUGUCUUGCUCAAGGACACAACGCGUCGCCGCGAAUUGAACUCACGACCUUACUAUCGUGAGCAGAAUGACCGAACCACUAAGCCACAUGCCUUCACACACACACACAUAUGUAUGUAUCCAUGCGUUUGUGUCUUUUUGUCGUUGUUUCACCACCAACACCACCACCACCAUCACUGCUUGACAACAGCGGUUGCUGCAUAUACGUUCCCACACCUUAGCCUUUCGGCAAAAUCGACCGAUGGAAUAGGUACUAGUCUUUUUUAAAAACAAAUAAGAUCGGGAGUCGAUUUGUUUGACUAAAAACCUCCAGGCUAGUGCCCCAGCAUGGCGACAGUCAGAUGAAAAGACAGAAAAUACACAUACACAUCUCUCCCACCCUCUCUCUUUCUCUUUCUCCCACUUUCUCUCCCUUCCUCCUCCUCCUCUCUCUCUCUAUCUCUCUCUUCCUCUGCCUUCUUCUCUCUCUCCCCUCUCUCUUUGUGUCUCUUUGUUCCUGCACAGUUAUAUACACAGACACUCAGCCACACAAACAUACGCUCCUGACGAAUGAACAUCGGUCUGCUGAUGUUACAUGUCAUUAUAACAAUUCUUUUUCCUUUUCUUUUCUCUUCAGUUUGUCUUUGUAAUACUUUACUUUGACUCUUUGACUCAGCCGCCAUCUUUUUUUUUUAUGUCGCAUCGUAUUUACUUUCUAACAUUAUAGAAAAACAGAGGCUGCAAUGUUGUGAGUGUAAACAAACAACGUACACAGCCAACUGAUGGCAAACAUUUUAACAGAUGAGACAUGACUUCGACAAUGAUUCGCUGUCAUUUAAAUGUAAGGGAUUUCAUUCUUACUUGAAGCUCUGCUAGUCUAAUCUAAUUACUGACGACAAGAAUUCUGCUGGAAUUUUAGAUUCUACUAAUGAUAUUAACUGUCGAUAUCGGCUUGAGAAUAUCAUCAUCAUAAUCAUCAUCAUCAUCAUUAUCAUCAACGUCAUCACCAUCACGAUCACCACCACCACCGCCCCCACCAUCGUCAUUGUCGUCAUUAUCGUUGUGUCAUCGGCCUCCAUAUCAUCAUCAUCAUCAUCAUAAUGAUUAUCAUCAUCGGCGGCGGCGUAUUCAUCAACGUCCUGUUGCCGUCUUCGUGUUCAUCAACUUCAUCAUCGCCAUCCUUCUCCUCCUCCACCACCACCUACAACAUCACCACCAUCGCCACUACCAUCACCACCAUCAUCAUCAUCAUUAUUACCAUCACAUCGUCUUCACCGCCAUUAUCAUCACCAUCGAUCACUCUGGGAAGGGAUCGAGCCGUCACCGAGCAGUGGUUCAUUAUUUGGUUCAAAGCGCGUGGUGCAUGUCGAACGCCACUGUUGGCACGGGCGUAACCGAUGCGCGACCUUUAGUCGGUCGGUGAGUUUGACUGGGGUGAUACUUCUAUGAAACCGUGACGCAGUGAGCUCAGCGUGGACGGAAACCAAACAUAUUGCAAACGGGCAAAACAUUGCUCGAUCUCGAUUUUCAGUAUGGAUACGGACAUGAAAGCGUGGCCCAUCAAUCCUUUCCGAAGAGCGUCAGUCAAGCUAUGCGUCCACCGAGAGGUGUCUGAAAUGUUACCACAGGGACAACUGGCUUAUGGUAGUCAAGCGUUCACAGCGAAGUAGUUUUUGUUCCUUCGAUGUCGGCUCUUCUUAUCAUUGCGAAGCAGAAUUCGCAGAGCGUUGGGUUGUUCAUACACUAAUAGCGAAAAUGAGCCGGGUCUAGACAGUGGUGAGACAGGUAAGUCUUAUUGUAGCUAUGCAUCUCGCGUUCGCUCGUCGUCCGUCGCUAUCGCUGAUGCCUCUGCUAGAUUUGCGCAGGCGCCGGCAACGUCAACUCUAUCCUGUCCAGUCAGAGGAACGCUUGCGCACUCGCUCGAUAGAGCGGUGGCGCCAGGCUGCCCGGGUGCGAUAACUGUUGAACAACUCUAAGCCGGGACCGUAGCCGGAUCCGAGUUGUUAUCCAAAAGUGU